rnacentral:rRNA from 1 species
CCCUUAGAUGUUCUGGGCCGCACGCGCGCUACACUGACGAAUGCAACGAGCUUAUAACCUUGGCCGAAAGGUCUGGGUAAUCUCCAAAUUUCGUCGUGAUGGGGAUAGACUUUUGCAAUUUUUGGUCUUCAACGAGGAAUUCCUAGUAAACGCAAGUCAUCAACUUGCAUUGAUUACGUCCCUGCCCUUUGUACACACCGCCCGUCGCACCUACCGAUUGAAUGGUCCGGUGAAGCCUCCGGAUUGGCGCGCACCUCGGUGCCGCCGAGAAGUUGGCUAAACCUUACCAUUUAGAGGAAGGUGAAGUCGUANCA